rnacentral:rRNA from 1 species
UGACACCGUAACUUCGGAAGAAGGUGUGCCUUUAGUAGGUGAACCAUUUACUUGGGGAGCCCAAUGAGGCCGCAGAGAAUCGGUGGCUGCAACUGUUUAUUAAAAACGCAGCACUCUGCAAAGACGAAAGUCGACGUAUAGGGUGUGACUCCUGCCCGGUGCUGGAAGAUUAAAUGAUGGGGUGCAAGCUCUUGACUGAAGUCCCAGUAAACGGCGGCCGUAACAAUAACGGUCCUAAGGUAGCGAAAUUCCUUGUCGGGUAAGUUCCGACCUGCACGAAUGGAGUAAUGAUGGCCACACUGUCUCCUCCAGAGACUCAGCGAAGUUGAAAUGUUUGUGAUGAUGCAAUCUCCCCGCGGAAAGACGGAAAGACCCCAUGAACCUUUACUGUAGCUUUACAUUGGACUUUGAACAGAUCUGUGUAGGAUAGGUGGGAGGCUUUGAAACCAGGACGCUAGUUUUGGUGGAGCCAACGUUGAAAUACCACCCUGGUGUGUUUGAGGUUCUAACCUUGGCCCGUUAUCCGGGUCGGGGACAGUGUAUGGUGGGCAGUUUGACUGGGGCGGUCUCCUCCCAAAGUGUAACGGAGGAGUUCGAAGGUACGCUAAAUACGGUCGGAAAUCGUGUUGAUAGUGCAUUGGCAUAAGCGUGCUUGACUGCGAGACUGACAAGUCGAGCAGGUACGAAAGUAGGACAAAGUGAUCCGGUGGUUCUGUAUGGAAGGGCCAUCGCUCAACGGAUAAAAGGUACUCUGGGGAUAACAGGCUGAUACCGCCCAAGAGUUCAUAUCGACGGCGGUGUUUGGCACCUCGAUGUCGGCUCAUCUCAUCCUGGGGCUGUAGCCGGUCCCAAGGGUAUGGCUGUUCGCCAUUUAAAGAGGUACGUGAGCUGGGUUUAAAACGUCGUGAGACAGUUUGGUCCCUAUCUUCCGUGGGCGCUGCAAGAUUGAGAGAGCCUGCUCCUAGUACGAGAGGACCGGAGUGGACGCACCUCUGGUGUAUCGGUUGUCACGCCAGUGGCAUUGCCGAGUAGCUAAGUGCGGGAGAGAUAACCGCUGAAAGCAUCUAAGCGGGAAACUCGUCUCAGGAUGAGUCUUGCCGGGGCCUUGAGCCCCCUGAAGAGUCGUUCGAGACCAGGACGUUGAUAGGCUGGGUGUGGAAGCGCAGUAAUGCGUUAAGCUAACCAGUACUAAUUGCUCGUGAGGCUUGACCCC